UUUCCGUAGGUGAACCUGCGGAAGGAUCAUUAAUAAUUUACCAUUUCAUAUGGAAAAUUAAAUCCAUAUCCACCUUGUGUGCAUUGUCGAAUGUUUGCUUUGGGAGGUAACCUGGUGUUUGGCGUUUGUCGAUAUCUGGGUAGAAAGUUAAUCUUUCAACCUCCCGAAGUUUCUUUUUAACAACACUUAUAACUUUUGACUGAAAAUUUUUUGUUAUAUUAAACAAAUAAAUACAACUUUCAACAACGGAUCUCUUGGCUCUC
rnacentral:misc_RNA from 1 species